CAGCCGCCGCGGGAAUACGAAGGGUGCAAGCGUUAAUCGGAAUUACUGGGCGUAAAGCGCGCGUAGGCGGUUACUCAAGUCAGAGGUGAAAGCCCGGGGCUCAACCCCGGAACUGCCUUUGAAACUAGGUGACUAGAAUCUUGGAGAGGUCAGUGGAAUUCCGAGUGUAGAGGUGAAAUUCGUAGAUAUUCGGAAGAACACCAGUGGCGAAGGCGACUGACUGGACAAGUAUUGACGCUGAGGUGCGAAAGCGUGGGGAGCAAACAGGAUUAGAUACCCCGGUAGUCCCUGUCUCUUAUAA
rnacentral:rRNA from 1 species